GCUCUUUUUGUUAGUACACAUCUUUAAAUUGGAAAGAUUACCAAAAGAUUAGCAAGGCUCCUCCACAAAGAUGACAUGUAAAUUAGUGGAGCAUUUCAUAUUUGA